rnacentral:ncRNA from 1 species
GAUAGAGGUGCGGUUCUGCGUGUAGUAGAGCUGAGGCGACCGACGCCCUUGACGCUUUGUGAAUAGCUUUGCCGCCGAAAAACGAAUUGUGGUAAUAUUCGUUUUGGUGAUAUGUCACAUUGGCAUAUCACUGUCAUCAUAUGCAAUACACUAUGAUGGGGAGCUAUCGU